rnacentral:rRNA from 1 species
UUGGAGGAAUGUAUGGCGAAAGCUGGUUGCAUCUAAAAAGGUGCAAGAUUGAUUCGAUCGAAUAAAGUUCUAGAUAGGUUAUGAUGAUGACAUUUCCUGGUCUAUGUGUCUUGACUAAAUUACGUGCCAGCAGUCGCGGUAAUACGUAGAAGACUAGUGUUAUUCAUCUUUAAUAGGUUUAAAGGGUACCUAGACGGUAAAUCAAGUCCAAAAAGGGUACUAAUUUGCUAGAGUUUAAUGUGAGGGGGCACUAAAGUACUGAUAAGUGUAGAGAUGAAAUUCUGUGAUACAAUAUAAGGACAGGUAAAGGCGAAAGCAUCUCAUUAUGUAAUAACUGACGUUGAGGGACGAAGGCUAGGAGAAGCAAAAAGGAUUAGAUACCCAAGUAGUCUUAGCAGAAAAUUAUGAAUGUCAUAGGAUGGAGAUAGUUGAUAACAAUUUUUUUUCUAUAAAUGAAAGUGUAAGCAUUCCACCUCGAGAGUAAUUUGGCAACAUUGGAACUGAAAUCAUUAGACCGUUUCUGAAACAAGUAGUGAAGUAUGUUGUUUAAUUUGAUGGUCCGCAAAAAACCUUACCACAAUUUGAAUAGAAAUUUUUAUUUUAUACAAGCGCUGCACGGUUGUCUCCAGUUAAUGUCGUGAGAUCUUGGUUAGUUCCAUUAAAUUAACGUAAACCCUUACUUUAUUUAUAUAUAGAGUAGUUCACCGCUAGAUUGGAUGUGAUAACAGGGACUAAGACAAGUCAUCAUGGCCUUAAUAUUGUGGG